AGGAAAUGUGGCUUCUGAGUCUUUGAAUCGGAGUCUAUUUCAUCUAAUAUAACUUUUGGGUCCAAAGGAAGGAGACUCUGUGUAUUUUCUGAAGGCCACGCUGCGCCUC